UAAUAUAAAAAUUAUGUACUCACCUUUUGGAUACGACAUUGAGAAAUAAAAUCGACAAAAUACCCGAAUAUGUAGCAAAUUUACUCUUUUUCCUCAUGAGUACUCCUUUUGAUGGCUGAUUUAGCACAUGGGAACAUAAAUUCUAGUCAUAAAAGCAAAGCUCUUCAUUCUAGAAUGUAGAAGUAGAUAUAUUUAAAUUUGGAAAGAUAUCACCUAUGGAAACUCAACGUGUUAUUACUCAUGAAAAUUUUCUAGAUUUAUAAAAAAAGAUAAGUUUUAAUCUGCCUAUUUACUGUAGCUUCUCCCCAAAAUUAACAAGUAGUUUUUUCUUUGUUUUGAAAUGUACUUGUAGUUAUGAAUUAACCAGUAGCUACCGAAGAUAAGAUAUUCCUACUUCGUUCCUCAAAGUGAUAUUGGUGUGUUGAAAAUAUGGUAACCGCUAACUUGGCGUACGUAUAAAAUUGUAUGCUUGUGUUAAUAUAGAACAACCUUAUGUUGUUUUCUUUCUUUGAAACUGAUUUGUUUAACUAAGAUGUAUAUGUUGCGUAUCCGGGAGGCUUUCUUGGUUAUUCGGAGAAGUUGUUGAAAAAAGCAUAUGGCGCCAAUCCUCUGUUAUGUCUUUCCAUAUAGUUAUCAUGUAUUUGCUCAAUUUUUUUUGGAUGUAUCUCCCCAUUUUCAUUUAAUUGGCAGCAUAUGUCCAUGGGUACAAAAUCUAAAUUGAAACAUUUUACCAUAUUGUCUACUCAAUAAGACAACAUUAUUGCUCUCUUUUUCCCUACAUAACCCUUACAAAUCAUAUGAGUUACCUUGGUUUGCACCAUCCUGUGCAAUAGGCAAACUUUUGUUUUCAUUGCAGUUGCCUUUUUGAGCUUGACGUUAUAGACAGAAGUUGUACAAUGUCCAUGACAACCGAACAAACAUAUGAAACUCUUGCUAUCAAGGUUCACACAAAGAUUUUACACUGAAAUAUAAAUAACACAUUUCCAUGCUUUCUCAUUAUAAUUUAGUACUGAUAUCAUGUUAUGUAGAUCUUAAUUGGUGUGUUCUUUUUUUGACAAUUGGUUGGUGAACUGUUCACUCUUCAGCUACAAAGUUUCUACUCAAAAUUUCAGAUAAAAUGACUACUAUACUGGUCAUUUUAUUUUGCACGGAAAGAAAUCAUGCUUUUCCCGAAUUGAUCAACAUCUCUCCUUCCUAGAGAAGGAAUGAAGAAACGAAAAUUGCGCUGCCCAGAAAUAUGCAUUCCAAAUACUUGAAAUAACAUAUUCUAUGGUCUACUUAUUAUCUUGCAAUACUUUCCUUAAUUUGAUGCAGCGAAAACAAAGCUUGCUUUCAGCAAACAACAAAGAAACUAAUAAAAUAAUUUAAACCAACAAACAUUGGAAUGACAAUAGGG
rnacentral:lncRNA from 1 species